UACGUAGGUGGCAAGCGUUGUCCGGAAUUAUUGGGCGUAAAGCGCGCGCAGGCGGCCCUCUUAAGUCUGAUGUGAAAGCCCCCCGGCUCAACCGGGGGAGGGCCAUUGGAAACUGGGAGGCUUGAGUAUAGGAGAGAAGAGUGGAAUUCCACGUGUAGCGGUGAAAUGCGUAGAGAUGUGGAGGAACACCAGUGGCGAAGGCGACUCUUUGGCCUAUAACUGACGCUGAGGCGCGAAAGCGUGGGGAGCAAACAGG
rnacentral:rRNA from 1 species